UAGUUCCGGGCCACCCUGCAUUAAAGAAACUUAAAAAAUAUAUACAUCCUACAAUAUCAUAUAAGAAUAAAAGAUGCCUCUCUCUCCUCAUCUCCACAUUUUAUUCUUUUUUUUCUUUUUAAAUUUCAGGUCUUAGCUAGCAGUUUGGAAAUAGAUGUGAUGAAAUAUAAAGUUUACACAAAGGAAACAGCGGAAAUUCUGGUUAAAUCUUAUAAAUGGUGCAGUAUGACUCCCAAGAUGCACAAACUUCUGUUUCACGGAUCAGAAAUAAGCUAGAGCUCUAGUGCCAAAAGGUACGAAUCCUGUGAAUUGAAAAAAGAAGAUGAUCUUUGACUGUGAGGCCCAAGAACUUUUAAUGCCCAUCUAUCAGCUUGAUGACAGCAGUCUAAGUGAAGAGUUUGAAGGGAGUGAUAGAGGUGAAGGAGAUGAAGAAGAGGACCAUGAAAGUAGCGAUGAUAGCCAUAGUUAGGUUUUUUAGUAUUACGCUUUCCUGAUUGUGUAACGGUGUUUACGAUGUUUUUUUUUUAAAUAAAGAGAGUAAGAAGAAUAUACAUUUGUAUAGUGUGA